rnacentral:snRNA from 1 species
GUGCUUGCUUCGGCAGCCCAUAUACUAAAAUUGGAACAAUACAGAGAAGAUUAGCAAUGGCCCCUGCGCAAAGAUAACACGCAAAUUCAUGAAGUGUUCCAUAUGUUU